UGGGGAAUUUUGGACAAUGGGCGAAAGCCUGAUCCAGCAAUGCCGCGUGUGUGAAGAAGGCCUUCGGGUUGUAAAGCACUUUUGUCCGGAAAGAAAUCCUUGGCUCUAAUACAGUCGGGGGAUGACGGUACCGGAAGAAUAAGCACCGGCUAACUACGUGCCAGCAGCCGCGGUAAUACGUAGGGUGCAAGCGUUAAUCGGAAUUACUGGGCGUAAAGCGUGCGCAGGCGGUUUGCUAAGACCGAUGUGAAAUCCCCGGGCUCAACCUGGGAACUGCAUUGGUGACUGGCAGGCUAGAGUAUGGCAGAGGGGGGUAGAAUUCCACGUGUAGCAGUGAAAUGCGUAGAGAUGUGGAGGAAUACCGAUGGCGAAGGCAGCCCCCUGGGCCAAUACUGACGCUCAUGCACGAAAGCGUGGGGGAGCAAACAGGAUUAGAUACCCUGGUAGUCCACGCCCUAAACGAUGUCAACUAGUUGUUGGGGAUUCAUUUCCUUAGUAACGUAGCUAACGCGUGAAGUUGACCGCCUGGGGAGUACGGUCG
rnacentral:rRNA from 1 species